CCGCCUCCCCGUGCGCCUCGGAGUGUCGGGCAGCAGACGCGGCCGCUUCGCAGCUUCACGCCUCCACCCCUCUCUCGCGCUCGCCUCUCCAGGGACGGCGACUUCUCCGGCGACUGGCCACUGCAUCCUCCCACGCUACCAGAUCGACGGCCACCCCAUCCUCCUCGCUCUUCCUCGCGCGCCUCCGCAGAUCUACGCGGAAGCCGACCCGGCCGCUCGCCCCUACCGCUAUGCCUUCCUACCCCGGUGAGCAUGGUCCGGAACGCACGCUUCUGCAUUGUGCUUACCGAGUUGGUCGCCGCCCUGCAGCAACUCCCAUCACCGAUCCCCCUGCUCCAUCGUGCUUGACACACAGCUCAUGCUAGGGCUCCCAACCCCUACCGGUGGUGGGUAUUCUUCAGUUUUUGUUGUGGAGUUGUUGAUGAAAUUUCAAGCAGGCUAUAGUUAAGGGGAUUGAUUUUGCCCGUGCCUCCAUACCUGCGCCAUGAGUCAUUGUUUGGGGAUUUCCAGCUGUGGUAAACCGGUUGGCUCUGUAGGUGAUGUGUUGAUCAUGGGGUGCCUCCUAACCCCCUGUAGAAACGAAUCUGAACACUAAAACCUGGUCCUCAAGGAUGUUGUACUCACUCCAUUGCUUUCAAUGGAGGAACCCUGUCUGACACGCUUCCGUCUGCUCUUAUGAGGAGCCGCGGGCAUGUUCCGAGAGGGAUCGAUAGAUGGAUUCGUCAAGCAAUGACAAUGCAGCUCCAGCCUAUAUGCUGACAAACCUGGUUGAUGCAACCACGACAUUCCAGAUCGUCGACAUUCAGCGGUAUAUGAUGGAGUCCAUCCCAAUAAUUUUGCAGCCAUCUGGCCCAAGCGAUGGCUUGCACAUCUUCCCCCGAGGGGUUAUUUACAGGGUUAGUAUCAGCUACAUGCGAAUGCAACUUAGACUGAAGUCAUGUACCAUGUGGUAUACGUGGUGAGCAACUAAACAAUUGUUAUACAAAGACUGAAGUCAUGCAAACAUUCAUGCUGAUAAAUGACUAUACAGUGCUGAAAUGAAUUCUGAUAUCUUCUAGGAGAUCUGAGCUCCAUUGAAAUAUGAUCAUCAGUAAAUAAAUAGCUGUGAGAAAUGUGGUAGUUAUCAUUUUCCCCUUCUACUAGAAUAAAUAUGUGGAUUUUGCCUGCCUAGCUUGUCGGCUUUGUAAAAUUUCUUAAUAUCUCGGUUCAAAUAUUAUAGCACGUCACUGAUAUAUCUGAUAUCCUACUCCUAUA